CUAACGCCUCCAGAGUUAGUGCGACUUAUGCAUUCACUUCAGCAAAAAAUCCAUCGUGGUGGUGCAUUCCGAGGUGGGGGUUGCCUUAUCGCCCAAUUCCGCCGAGGUAGGGGUAACCUUACCACCCAAUUCCGCCUUUCCCAUCCCCACCAAGGAUUCCUGGGUGGGAUUGGCCCCGUCACCCAAUUCCAUCUUUCCCAUCUCCAUCAGAAUUGUUGGUGAAUUUUUAAUAAUUAAGUUCAUCAAUAUUUUUUCUUCCGUGUGCAAAAAAACUACGUUCUACAGUUAUGUUGAAUAUUUGUUUUCUAUUAUUAGAAUUAAUUGUUGCUCUCAAUCUCCUGGCUAGACGCAAUAGUUUGUUGGUUAGUCUUGAAGUUGGAGUAAGCAGAUUUAAUAAAAUAAUUAGCGUAGUUGAAAUUGGAUCAUCACAGUUUUUUAUAAAUUAAAUUAUGCUUAUGUGCUUGAUAUUUUAUGAAGGUUGAAUAUUGUCGCCAUCAUAACAACGCUCUGUUUCGUUCGUUUUAUUGGUUUUUUGAGUGGGAAGAUCAUAUGCAAAGAUAGAGAAACUGAAAGGAAAAAUAGAGAAGAGAGAAGAAAGUUCUGAUGGCUGUAAUACUCAUCCUUACUUCCAUUACUUCAAUAAUACAUUUCAUCUUACUUAAUACACGUACACAGCAGGUCAAAUUAAGUUAAACCAUACAAUAUCUCACAAACCAAACCAAAGUAACCAAAAGCUUAUCUACUCUAACAAUUCCAAACUACAUUGGUUGCAUUCCAACUAAAUACAAACUAAAACAACUCCAAAUGGAUAAGAAAGUUUGUCAACAUAUUAAGCAACAAAAACAAACUUAUAUUGGCUUUGUUUCAGAGCACCUGAGCACAUCUUCAAUAUAUCAAAAAAAAUCCAGCAGCUGCAUACUUCACCCGGCUUCAUUAGGUUUCAAAUUAUACGAUGGAUCCAUGUUACAGUGGAGAGAACUUGAAGCAUUUGGACAAGCAGAAUGAGCUUCUUAAUGAGGUCCAUAAUGCGAUCUCUGAUGAAUUACAUAAACUUCAGGCUAAUUCAUGGAGAAUCUUCGUUUACAGAAAUUUAUGGUGCAACAGAUUCCUGAAGUUCUUCCUUCACAGUUAUCACUCGGAGUGGGGAGCACUGAAAUUUCAUAUUUGACGGUUUUCAGGUUGAGAAUCAUUGUAAAAAGGACACUCCACUGCUCUAGUAUGUGUACCUAGCGGUGAUCAACAAUGAGGAUCAAGUCUGUUCACUCUUACUCUGAUGUUUCUAAUUUUUGUCAAAUUAUAUUCUGAGAGAUUAGAUCAUCGUAUUCAGUAAAUGGUAAUUUUACUAAA